GGGAGCCGGAGGGAAACCGAGUCUUAACCGGGCGUUAAGUUGCAGGGUAUAGACCCGAAACCCGGUGAUCUAGCCAUGGGCAGGUUGAAGGUUGGGUAACACUAACUGGAGGACCGAACCGACUAAUGUUGAAAAAUUAGCGGAUGACCUGUGGCUGGGGGUGAAAGGCCAAUCAAACCGGGAGAUAGCUGGUUCUCCCCGAAAGCUAUUUAGGUAGCGCCUCGUGAAUUCAUCUCCGGGGGUAGAGCACUGUUUCGGCUAGGGGGCCAUCCCGGCUUACCAACCCGAUGCAAACUGCGAAUACCGGAGAAUGUUAUCACGGGAGACACACGGCGGGUGCUAACGUCCGUCGUGAAGAGGGAAACAACCCAGACCGCCAGCUAAGGUCCCAAAGUCAUGGUUAAGUGGGAAACGAUGUGGGAAGGCCCAGACAGCCAGGAUGUUGGCUUAGAAGCAGCCAUCAUUUAAAGAAAGCGUAAUAGCUCACUGGUCGAGUCGGCCUGCGCGGAAGAUGUAACGGGGCUAAACCAUGCACCGAAGCUGCGGCAGCGAACGUAUCACUUAAAGCGAUUCAGCGGGUUACGAUUGACGGAGCGAAGCGACGUCAAAGCGUAUACAAAGUCGAGUCGGUUUAAGGAUACGUUCGUUGGGUAGGG
rnacentral:rRNA from 1 species